GACGAACGCUGGCGGCGUGCUUAACACAUGCAAGUCGAACGAUGAACCCGGAGCUUGCUCUGGGGGAUUAGUGGCGAACGGGUGAGUAACACGUGAGUAACCUGCCCUGGACUCUGGGAUAAGCGUUGGAAACGACGUCUAAUACCGGAUAGGACCUUGGAUCGCAUGAUCUGGGGUGGAAAGGUUUUUCGGUCUGGGAUGGACUCGCGGCCUAUCAGCUUGUUGGUGAGGUAAUGGCUCACCAAGGCGUCGACGGGUAGCCGGCCUGAGAGGGUGACCGGCCACACUGGGACUGAGACACGGCCCAGACUCCUACGGGAGGCAGCAGUGGGGAAUAUUGCACAAUGGGCGAAAGCCUGAUGCAGCAACGCCGCGUGCGGGAUGACGGCCUUUGGGUUGUAAACCGCUUUUAGUAGGGAAGAAGGGCUUCGGCUUGACGGUACCUGCAGAAAAAGGACCGGCUAACUACGUG
rnacentral:rRNA from 1 species